GCAGAGAUGCUUUGGUGCCUUCGGGAACUGUGAGACAGGUGCUGCAUGGCUGUCGUCAGCUCGUGUUGUGAAAUGUUGGGUUAAGUCCCGCAACGAGCGCAACCCUUAUCCUUUGUUGCCAGCGGUUAGGCCGGGAACUCAAAGGAGACUGCCAGUGAUAAACUGGAGGAAGGUGGGGAUGACGUCAAGUCAUCAUGGCCCUUACGACCAGGGCUACACACGUGCUACAAUGGCAUAUACAAAGAGAAGCGACCU
rnacentral:rRNA from 2 species